rnacentral:rRNA from 2 species
UGGAGACCACAACGUUGAUAGGUGGGGUGUGUAAGCGCGGCGACGUGUUGAGCUAACCCAUACUAAUUACCCGUGAGGCUUAACCAU